rnacentral:rRNA from 1 species
UUUCCUACGGGGGGCAGCAGUGAGGAAUAUUGCGCAAUGGCCGAAAGGCUGACGCAGCGACGCCGCGUGAAGGAUGAAGUUCGUUAGAAUGUAAACUUCUUUUGUAGGGGAUGAAUGUGCCGUUUUACGGCAUUGACCGUACCCUGCGAAUAAGGAUCGGCUAACUACGUGCCAGCAGCCGCGGUAAUACGUAGGAUCCGAGCGUUGUCCGGAUUUACUGGGUGUAAAGGGCGUGUAGGUGGGUCUCGAAGUCAGUGGUGAAAGCCCGCAGCUUAACUGCGGAAUUGCCAUUGAUACUGGAGGUCUUGAGUACGGCAGAGGGAAAUGGAAUUCAUGGUGUAGCGGUGAAAUGUGUAGAUAUCAUGAAGAACACCGGUAGCGAAGGCGGUUUCCUGGUCCGUAACUGACACUGAGGCGCGAAAGCGUGGGGAGCAAACAGGAUUAGAUACCCGAGUAGUC